GACUCUCUAGCUCACCCGGUAGAGCACCCGGCUGAAAACCGGGGGGAUGGGGUUCGAUUCCCUGGGGAGUCAC
rnacentral:tRNA from 1 species